CUUCGGACUGGACACUUAGUGGCGGACGGGUGAGUAACGCGUGGGUAACCUGCCUCAUACAGGGGGAGUAGCAGUUGGAAACGACUGAUAAUACCGCAUAAGCGCACAGCAUCGCAUGAUGCAGUGUGAAAAACUCCGGUGGUAUGAGAUGGACCCGCGUCUGAUUAGCUUGUUGCGGGGUAACGGCCCACCAAGGCGACGAUCAGUAGCCGGCCUGAGAGGGUGAACGGCCACAUUGGGACUGAGACACGGCCCAAACUCCUACGGGAGGCAGUAGUGGGGAAUAUUGCACAAUGGGGGAAACCCUGAUGCAAGCGACGCCGCGUGAAGGAUGAAGUAUUUCGGUAUGUAAACUUCUAUCAGCAGGGAAGAUGAUGACGGUACCUGACUAAGAAGCCCCGGCUAACUACGUGCCAGCCGCCGC
rnacentral:rRNA from 1 species